rnacentral:rRNA from 1 species
GAGGAAUAUUGGUCAAUGGAGGCAACUCUGAACCAGCCAUGCCGCGUGCAGGAUGACGGUCCUAUGGAUUGUAAACUGCUUUUAUACGGGAAGAAAACGAGUUACGUGUAACUAACUGACGGUACCGUAAGAAUAAGGAUCGGCUAACUCCGUGCCAGCAGCCGCGGUAAUACGGAGGAUCCAAGCGUUAUCCGGAAUCAUUGGGUUUAAAGGGUCCGUAGGCGGUCUUAUAAGUCAGUGGUGAAAGUUUUUAGCUUAACUAAAAAAUUGCCAUUGAUACUGUUAGACUUGAAUUACUUGGAAGUAACUAGAAUAUGUAGUGUAGCGGUGAAAUGCUUAGAUAUUACAUGGAAUACCAAUUGCGAAGGCAGGUUACUAUGAGUUAAUUGACGCUGAUGGACGAAAGCGUGGGUAGCGAACAGGAUUAGAUACCCUGGUAGUCCACGCCGUAAACGAUGGAUACUAGUUGUUUGGCCGUAAGGUUGAGUGACUAAGCGAAAGUGAUAAGUAUCCCACCUGGGGAGUACGAACGCAAGUUUGAAACUCAAAGGAAUUGACGGGGGCCCGCACAAGCGGUGGAGCAUGUGGUUUAAUUCGAUGAUACGCGAGGAACCUUACCAGGGCUUAAAUGUAGUUUGACCGCUUUGGAAACAGAGCUUUCGCAAGACAGAUUACAAGGUGCUGCAUGGUUGUCGUCAGCUCGUGCCGUGAGGUGUCAGGUUAAGUCCUAUACCGAGCGCAACCCCUGUUGUUAGUUGCCAGCGAGUAAUGUCGGGAACUCUAG